rfam:Spinacia oleracea cultivar SynViroflay scaffold3792.con0002.1, whole genome shotgun sequence.
GGUGUUGUGGUGUAGUUGGUUAUCACGUCAGUCCUAUACACUGAAACUUUCCGGUUCGAGUCCGGGCAACACCA